rnacentral:rRNA from 1 species
AGAGUUUGAUCCUGGCUCAGGAUGAACGCUGGCGGCGUGCCUAACACAUGCAAGUCGAACGGACUUACAUUGAAGCCUAGCGAUAUGUAAGUUAGUGGCGGACGGGUGAGUAACGCGUGGGUAACCUGCCUUGUACUGGGGGACAACAGUUGGAAACGACUGCUAAUACCGCAUAAGCGCACAGCUUCGCAUGAAGCAGUGUGAAAAACUCCGGUGGUACAAGAUGGACCCGCGUCUGAUUAGCUGGUUGGUGAGGUAACGGCCCACCAAGGCGACGAUCAGUAGCCGGCCUGAGAGGGUGAACGGCCACAUUGGGACUGAGACACGGCCCAAACUCCUACGGGAGGCAGCAGUGGGGAAUAUUGCACAAUGGGGGAAACCCUGAUGCAGCAACGCCGCGUGAGUGAAGAAGUAUUUCGGUAUGUAAAGCUCUAUCAGCAGGGAAGAAAAUGACGGUACCUGACUAAGAAGCCCCGGCUAACUACGUGCCAGCAGCCGCGGUAAUACGUAGGGGGCAAGCGUUAUCCGGAUUUACUGGGUGUAAAGGGAGCGUAGACGGUUUUGCAAGUCUGAAGUGAAAGCCCGGGGCUUAACCCCGGGACUGCUUUGGAAACUGUAGAACUAGAGUGCAGGAGAGGUAAGUGGAAUUCCUAGUGUAGCGGUGAAAUGCGUAGAUAUUAGGAGGAACACCAGUGGCGAAGGCGGCUUACUGGACUGUAACUGACGUUGAGGCUCGAAAGCGUGGGGAGCAAACAGGAUUAGAUACCCUGGUAGUCCACGCCGUAAACG